AAAGGAAUAGACGGGGGCCCGCACAAGCGGUGGAGCAUGUGGUUUAAUUCGAAGCAACGCGAAGAACCUUACCAAGGCUUGACAUGGCAUUGAAAGGUAUAGAGAUAUACCCGUCCUUCGGGACAAUGCACACAGGUGGUGCAUGGUUGUCGUCAGCUCGUGUCGUGAGAUGUUGGGUUAAGUCCCGCAACGAGCGCAACCCUUACGUCCAGUUGCCAGCACGAAAGGUGGGCACACUGGAGGGACUGCCGUGGAUAACACGGAGGAAGGUGGGGAUGAUGUCAAAUCAUCAUGCCCCUUAUGUCUUGGGCUACACACGUGCUACAAUGGUUCAAACAAAGUGAAGCGAGGCAGCGAUGCGGAGCGAAACACGAAAAAGGACCCCAGUUCGGAUUGCAGGCUGCAACCCGCCUGCAUGAAGUUGGAAUCGCUAGUAAUCGCGAAUCAGCAUGUCGCGGUGAAUACGUUCCCGGGCCUUGCACACACCGCCCGU
rnacentral:rRNA from 1 species